AUGCCUGCACUGCACUGCUGUUUGCUAGCCUGGAGUUGCAUCUUGACAGAAGAAACAGCGGCACCAUGAAAGUGCUGCACAGCGAUGUGGAAAACCUCCUGCUUUUCUGACCUUAAUUCUCUUGUUCUUGUCUCUCCUUACAGUAAGUGUGUGUGAAACAAGCCUGCGUACUUUGCUGAAAGACUGUAUAAAUCCAUGAAGGUAAACAGAUUGUGGAGUAAGAUUGCUUGCUUCUUUCUCGCAUUUUCAUGCUCGAGUCAGCAGCAUCAUGGCAAUCAUGAGACGGGAGCUGCAGCCAGUCAGGAAACUGGCUUUUCUAGGAAAGCUCAGGCUUUUCUGCACAUCGGGCAAUAGUCAUACUCAGGAGCAGGCUGCUAAUGGAUCGCUCCAUUAAUGCAGAAAUGCUCUAACUAAGAACACCUCCUGCACAAGACCGGGCACUGAGACCUUUUGUGUCUGUUGGUGAUUCUCCAGAAGGUUCUGUGUUAGCUGUACGUGGUUGCUUUGCUUCCUAAGGCCUGGGAACAGAUGGCAACACUCUGAUCAGAGUGGUGGUGUUCCGCUUCAAGAUAGAUAUACUGGGUAUCGGAAGAGAACUCCUGACUAUGUAUGGGAAGUCUCUCUACUCCUUCAUUAAGGGAGACUGCUCAGGAGACUACAGGAACGUUCUGCUGAAGCUCUGUGGCAGUGAGGAUUGAAGGAUUCCUGGUGUAUGUCCCGCGUUAUGGGAAGGAAGGGAUCAUAAGGAUUUCUCUCAGGUGUUUGUAACUUGGUGAAUAACGCUCUGAAGGCAUCACAGACUGCCUGCUUGUCUCUGCAGUGCUCGGGGCUUUUCUGAGCUGCAGGCUCGCUGCAGCCCCGUGGCAUAGCCUUGCAUCUGGUGACGAACUGAAGCUGGAGAAUCCUGGCAGCAGAGGACGCUCCUGCCCCACAGAAGGGCUCACAGCUCCACCGCAGCUCCACCGACCUCAGUGCUGGUGAGGAGGCUGAGAUGCCUCCAAGUGAUGAAUGCAGUCCACCCAACCUUACACCUCGUGUGGUUCACUGUGCGAGGCGACCAGGAAGAAAGGUGGGCACAGGAUAUUUUACAGGUUCUGACUCAGGUUCCGAGAUUUUAAGUUUACCGUCUGGAAUUAAAGCCUUCUUCAACUGCCUGUUCUGCCACCUGAUCCGCCAUCUUAUCUCCAGUUUCCUGUACAGUGCUACCUUUCUGAUGUCCUUUACAGAGUAUAAUAGCCAUGCUCUUUGGUCUGGCCGACUGGCACAGUCAGUCUCCAAGCAGUCGCACGCUGCCGGUUUGGAGGUAGUUCUGUGUUGGUGUUAGAAUCAUGGAAUGGCCUGGGUUGAGAAGGACCUCAAAGAUCGUCCAGUUCCAACCCCCUGCUAUGUGCAGGGUCACCAACCGACGGACCAGGCUGCCCAGAGCCUUGUCUUGAAGAAGAUUGUUUUUAGGAGAACAAAAACUUUGGAUCACCUUUCAAAUACAGAGAAAAAAAUAACGCUGUAUUAUUUUUUUGUUUUAUUUUCCUGUUGUUAUGAUCAGGUAAAGAGACAGACAUAUCACAUCUCAGAAAUGGCUUUACUUCAGUGGCCUUAAAUGGUCCCUCUGUGAUCAUUAUUUUCUUAUUGAAUCGCUGUCAGACACAGCUGGUGGAUUUUUGUACGUGCAGUUUGGAGUUCCUGGCUAAAAUGAACCACAUGAAUACAGAUUACGGAUAUUCUUAUCUCAGCACGCUUUUGAGAUGGAGCAUUCAAAUUACAAGACCUUCAGUCUGCUGUUUUAAUCUGACCCAGAAGGAAAACUUCACUACAGUUCGUUUCCUUGAUUCCCGUGCAAUUUUAUUUUGGAACUGAAGCUCAAUCGAAUUUAAACAACUUUUUUGAAAGUCUGUAAUGAAAGUUGCAUUUUUGCUUACACGUAGCCGCUUUGACCCACGGUGAAUGGAAGUCAUAAAGCAGGGUAUAAAGGGAGUUUCUAAAUUGCCUGUUGUUGAGUCCAUUGAAGGCAACAGGAGAGUCCAGAAUGUGACCUUUGAGAGCAAAUUUGCCUCUGCUUCUUACUGAAUUUUGUGUUGCGUUUUUCUGUAUAUAUAUUUCUUUUGACUCAGAAAUACAAAUUAUAAUGAAGGUGAGGCACUUCACAAUACGUUUGGCUUCAGCAUUGCUGAAUAUACAUUUGUAUAUGUAUAUAUAUUAUAUAUAUAUUGUACAGCAAAACAUUUCAGAAUCUGCAGAACGUUGCUAAUAACUGCAGUGGAACAGGGAGGAAUAGUGAAAACAGAUUUCUGCUUUGAAUGCUUUCAAAUUUAAUAAUUAAUGCAUUUUAUUUUUACUUGUAUAGGAUUAUCAUGAACUCUAGAUAGGUAGUUACAUUUGAAAAUGCUAAGUGAGAUAGCAAAACUGGAUCAUAAACACAGGAAACAGAUUCUGCAUUCAUUUUCUUGCAUUUCUGUCCUGCUGGCAUGCUCUUUGUACUUUCUACCAUUUCAGAAUCACAGGAGCUAAAAUAGUCUGAAAAAGAAGAGUCCAAAUCCUUGCCUUUGGAAGGCCCAGCUCGUUACCCAACUCCUGAGCAAAGAAAAAGAAGAAUAAAGGCUUCAGUCACCACACAUACUCACACUGGGAGGUGGGAGUAGGAGGGAGGUGGGAGGUGAAAGGAGGGAUGGAGAAGAGGACGGAUGGACAACGUGGAAGUAGAGAGGGAUGGAUAGGGGGAGGGAUGGAGAACGAGGAAGGAGGGAGGGACACGCACCGGGCCACGUGCUUGGCUCACAAAGGUGACACCAUCCUCCUGUCACAGACUUCAGCCUCAGCGUGACUGUCAGCCCUGUGGACACGCUGGCUGUCACUGUGCCCACCGUCUGCCACAACAUCACCUGCAGCCUCUGUGGAACUUCAAUGGCCGUCUCCACACCGACCGCCUCAUCCAGAGCAGCACUGCCACGGGUCACCGCCUCAGUCCUGGUCCCAGGUGUCCCCUGUGCCGGCAAUCCCCAGCAGUGAGUGAGUGGGCAGUGGACACAACCUGGGCUUCUCGCCGGGCCCUGCACGGGUGGUGGCAGUGUUCCAGGGGCACCGCCUCCGGCCCCACCCAUCCCUCUCCAAAAACGAGCUGAUGCUGUUCUCCUGGUUUGAGCGGCUGUGUACGGACUGUGCGACUGCCCGAGGGGAACCUUCCAACCUACUGCCUGAACUGAACUGAACUGAACUGAACUUCGGUGUCACGAGCGCGGCUGCAGAUAUGCAGUAACCGUACUGAAACUGUA
rnacentral:lncRNA from 7 species